rnacentral:misc_RNA from 1 species
GAUGAAGAACGCAGCGAAAUGCGAUACGUAAUGUUAAUUGCAGAAUUCAGUGAAUCAUCGAGUCUUUGAACGCACAUUGCGCCCCCUGGUAUUCCGGGGGGCAUGCCUGUCCGAGCGUCAUUGCUGCCCUCAAGCACGGCUUGUGUGUUGGGCCUCCGUCCUCCUCCCGGGGGACGGGCCCGAAAGGCAGCGGCGGCACCGCGUCCGGUCCUCGAGCGUAUGGGGCUUCGUCACCCGCUCUUGUAGGCCCGGCCGGCGCUUGCCGACACAUCAAUCUUUUUUCCAGGUUGACCUCGGAUCAGGUAGGGAUACCCGCUGAACUUAAGCAUAUCAAUAAGCGGAGGA